rnacentral:misc_RNA from 1 species
GAUGAAGAACGUAGCGAAAUGCGAUAAUUAAUGUGAAUUGCAGAAUUCAGUGAAUCAUCGAAUCUUUGAACGCACAUUGCGCCCAUUAGUAUUCUAGUGGGCAUGCCUGUUCGAGCGUCAUUAAGUCCACUUAAGCCCUGCUUAGUGUUGGGAGACUGCUCCAGCGGUGCUACCCUGUAGCUACCCUGCAGCUCCUCAAAGACAGCGGCGGAGUUGUGGUAUCCUCUGAGCUUAGUAACUUGUUCUAGCUUUCGAGUACACCACUUCCCCUGCCGUAAAACCCUUAAUUUUUAAUGGUUGACCUCGGAUCAGGUAGGAAUACCCGCUGAACUUAAGCAUAUCAAUAAGCGGAGGA